UCCCCGUUAUCCGAGGCAGUUUCGCCAGAGUGCCCGGCUUGACCCGAUGGCAACUGGCAAUAAGGGUUGCGCUCGUUGCGGGACUUAACCCAACAUCUCACGACACGAGCUGACGACAACCAUGCACCACCUGUGAACCGACCGCAAGCGGGGCACCUGUUUCCACCAGCUUUCCCGUGCAUGUCAAGCCCAGGUAAGGUUCUUCGCGUUGCUUCGAAUUAAACCACAUGCUCCACCGCUUGUGCGGGCCCCCGUCAAUUCCUUUGAGUUUCAGCCUUGCGGCCGUACUCCCCAGGCGGGGUACUUAUUGCGUUAGCGACGGCACCGAAGGGGUCGCUCCCCCCGGCGCCUAGUACCCAUCGUUUACGGCGUGGACUAC
rnacentral:misc_RNA from 1 species